rnacentral:rRNA from 1 species
CGCACGGGUGAGUAACACGUAUCCAACCUGCCGUCUACUCUUGGACAGCCUUCUGAAAGGAAGAUUAAUACAAGAUGGUAUCAUGAGUCCGCAUGUUCACAUGAUUAAAGGUAUUCCGGUAGACGAUGGGGAUGCGUUCCAUUAGAUAGUAGGCGGGGUAACGGCCCACCUAGUCUUCGAUGGAUAGGGGUUCUGAGAGGAAGGUCCCCCACAUUGGAACUGAGACACGGUCCAA